rnacentral:rRNA from 1 species
UGAGGAAUAUUGGUCAAUGGGCGAGAGCCUGAACCAGCCAAGUAGCGUGAAGGAUGAAGGUCCUAUGGAUUGUAAACUUCUUUUAUAGUAGAAUAAAGUGAGCCACGUGUGGUUUUUUGUAUGUAUACUAUGAAUAAGGAUCGGCUAACUCCGUGCCAGCAGCCGCGGUAAUACGGAGGAUCCGAGCGUUAUCCGGAUUUAUUGGGUUUAAAGGGUGCGUAGGCGGAAUAAUAAGUCAGUUGUGAAAGUUUGCGGCUCAACCGUAAAAUUGCAGUUGAUACUGUUAUGCUUGAGUGUACAUAAGGUAGGCGGAAUUCGUGGUGUAGCGGUGAAAUGCUUAGAUAUCACGAAGAACUCCAAUUGCGAAGGCAGCUUACCGGGGUACAACUGACGCUGAGGCACGAAAGUGUGGGUAUCAAACA